ensembl:lncRNA
CUCACCCCGACGAUGUUCCUCAGCGACCUAGACGCCGCCACACACGUCUCUUCCGCCAGCAGCGACCCCGCCUCGUGGCCACCGCCCCCUGGACCGCCGCCGUCGCCGCCUUCCUCGCCGCCGCCGUCGCGGCGCGCGCCCGCUUUCACGCACACCGCCGUGGCCGCGCACGCGCUUUGCGCGCUGGCGUCACUUAGCAACGGAUCAACCGCGGGCGGGUAGGAUCCAGGACUUCAGGGCCUCAGUUCGCUUCAGGCGGGGGUCUUGCGGCGCGUCUCCCCCCAGGUCGGAGCCACUGCCCCUCCUGAACUGGGCCCUCAGGGUGUGACCGCACUGCGGACACCUGGCUCGGGGCAAGGCUUGUCAUCGCACGUCACUGAAUAGCGUCAUCGGUCGCGUCACUGCGUAUGGGGAAGAGCAGGAGCGCGCCUGUUGCAGAAAGCCUCGUCCUUCUGCAGUUAGCCGCUGGCCUGAUGGGCAGUCAGCUAGGUGCGAGAAAGUUGGACAAGGAGAAAGAGUGAGCCAAGGGAGUCAUUAACUGCAUCAAGGUGCUAUGAAAGCCAGGCCCGAAAGACCACGACUCAGUCUCCUCGUUCUGUAAGUGAGAAGACUAAUACCCGACCUGCUUGCUCUAGAAAGGUGUCGAUUUAGAGCGAGAUAAUGCGUGCGAGGCUGCCGGGGGAACCUGGUCUCAUUCGAACUCCUAACUUCAGACCCUGACAGAAGCCGGGACAUAAGUACUCCACCUUCCAGGACUACCAAGUGUUAAGUAUGGAGCCCAUUAGACUCCAUCUUUCCCGUAAGAAGCGGGGACUUGUGGGCUUUGAAGCCACAGAAAUUGGGUUGCAGGUCUGAUUGAUCCUGGCUGAAACAGAAGAGCCGUCUCACACGAGAGGCUUACCUGGGUGCAGAAUUUGAAGACUUAAUUCCAAGCAAAGACGUCUUAAAUAGGCAGUUGAAAAUGAACAGACCGGGGUUGGGGAUUUAGCUCAGUGGUAGAGCGCUUGCCUAGGAAGCGCAAGGCCCUGGGUUCGGUCCCCAGCUCCGAAAAAAAGAUCCAAAAAAAAAAAAAAAAAAAAGAACAGACCUAGCAAGGGCUGGGCCAAGGAAGCAAACAGAGCUACAACCAAGAUGCUGGUGGUAGGGAUGGAAACGCAGAGGCCAGGGAUGGAAAAGCGGAGGAUGAAUAGAAUCGUGUUCCCCACCAAGACCCACAACCCCCAACCCACACUCCCGUCACCCUAAUGUGAUGAUCCUUUCUGUAAGGUGACAGAAGGGAGUUUGCAGACAUGGUUCAGUGAAGAUUGAGGAGAUUGCCUUGAAACUGGCCUGCUAGGACAAGAGCAUCAGAGUCCAAAAAAAAAGCUUACGAGAGAAGCAGGGGAGACAGCUUUGAAGCUACUGCCCAGUCAGCCUUUAAAAAGGAACAAAGGAGCACAGGCAGCCUACAGAAGCCGGAAAGGGCAAACGACUGGGUUCUUGAAUCUAGGGCUUGACCUCUAGAACUGUAACGAGAAUUGGGAUGGUGUCCAUGCGGUUUGUACUGACUUGUCACAACAGCCAUAAGAAACCAGUAGUGUGGAGAAUAAAGAGGACAGCUCCCUGGUGCGUUCUCCUUUGUCCAGGAAGAGAGGGGACAGUUUAUCAGGCUACCUCACAGACUGAGCACUGUGACUACAGUCCGAUGGAGUGGCCGUCCACAUUUAGAGGAAAAUGUCAAAUGGCCAAACUGCACGGGUCUGUGACUGAUGAGAGAAGCAGAGAUGUGAAGGGCAUCAAAGAGAAAGAAUAUAACUUCCACUUUUAUGUUAGACCCAGCAGCUGGUAACAGCAACCAUUAGCAAAUCCAACGAGUUUCACCCAACACUUGAGAAUUAAUAGAAGAUGUGCCACCUUCUGUCCAGAGAACUAUGCUUGUCGCUCAGUUGUUCUAGCAGUUCAGUUUGGAGGAGAGGUAGACACACGUGGGUAGAUAACUAGCUGCCAUAAAUGGGUUUUGGUUUUUGGGGGGUUUUGGGAGGGUUCGGUUGGUUUUGGUUUGUUUGUUAAGGCACAGGUAUACUAUGGCAAACUGUAUAAGGGCGAAAGAGUUAAUAGACCAAGAUUUAGAGCCAGGACAGGCAGUUACCUUCCUAAGAAAACCAAGUUCGAAUUGAUUUAAACGCUCUUUCUCCAUACUAUUAAGACAAUGUCCAUGCACGGCAGCAUUUACUCUACUAGUGUCGCUUGCCUCAUGCCAGGCACACGGUUCCUAUGCCUGUGCUUAGGAAUCAGAAAGCUGCCUCACGAGAGCUUGCAUAAUUACUCAAGAUCACAAAAUUAGUAAGAGGAUUCCCGAUGCUACAACCCAGGAACUACCCAUUCAUACCGUGCAGUCCCGGUUCACUUGCAGGGGGGCUAGAAAACAUGGCUUACACAGCUCAGCGCUGUCUGUGUUACAGGGCUGCUGUGCGUGAUCCCAUUCCGCUCCUUACUUGAACCUGAGAGCAAACUUUUAGAGUUGGAAGCUGCAAGUCUUUUAACCACUCGUGAUGAGCAGUGUGUCUCGCCUGUGAGUGAUGUAAGUUAGACAACUGAACUGCAUAACCAUGCUUCCUUCCCUCUUCGUGCCCCUGUCCCAAAGCCCCGAGGAAAUGUGUUCACUUGGCAUUUGUAACUGAGUGGAUUCGUAUGCAUGUCUCUGCGUUGGUCUGGUAGUCUCCCAUCAGCACCUCAACGAAAACAUCCAGGACAACCAUGUUUGGCCCAGCUCCUGUUCUAGAGGUUUCAGUGUGGUAAUGGCUGGCUCCGUUGUUUUAGACCUGUGAAGUGACAGAGUGCAUGGAGGAGCAAAACCGCUCACCUCAUGACCAGGAAGCCAAAAGAAAACAAAAAAGCAAGGAUCCCACAGUACCCUGCAAGGACUCACGUUUUAAUGACUUAAGGAGCACCCACUAGGCCUCACAUCUUCGAGGCUCAGCUACCUACUAAUGAUGCUCCGCAUUUUAAGAAGAAUGUUAUGGGGCCAGCCACAUGGCUCACAGGAUAAAAGCACUUGUUGCUGUUCAGCCCGAUGCGGACCCACCUGGUAUCCAGAACCAACCUCUUCAUGUCAUUCUUCGAUUAUGCGUGUACAUGGCACACAUGCUUGAGUAUACACACACACAAAAUAGUGUUUCAAAAGUUGUCCUCUGACCUCCAAACAUGAGCUGUGGCAAAAACACACACAGGCACGCGCACACACACACACACACACACAUACACUUUCUUAAAUGUUUGUAACUUUAAUUUCCCAUAUUUAGAUUCUGGGUAAUAACUAGUUCCAAGUCCAGAUUAAAAGAAAAAAAUCAUUGUCUAGGCCAGAAAGCAUUCCAAGUAACAUCAAAGAGCCAAGUUGUGGCUCUUCUCUCUCUCUCUCUCUCCUCUCUCUCUCUCUCUCUCUCUCUCUCCUCUCUCUCCUCUCUCUCCUCUCUCUCUCUCCCUCUCUCUCUCUCCCUCUCUCUCUCUCUGUGUGUGUGUGUGUGUGUGUGUGUGUGUGUGUGUGUGUGUGUGUGUGUGUGUGUGUAAAAUAGAUACCGUGGGUUCUUUAGACACAUAUUCCUCAUGCCUUAGAAAAAAAGAAAGUCUGUUUCCUAUCUGCUGAUGACAUUUUGUUAAGAUGGAGUUUUAUAUGUGUAGUUGGCCUUGUUACUCACUUUGUCAGAGGGGCUGUAGUUCCAAAACUACAGCUACAUGCCCUAAGUUUAAUUGGCUUGAGUCCAGUAGCUAAUACCAGGUUAGCCUCUUCUAGUUUGUUUUGUUUGAGAGGCGGGGCCUCACUGUGUAGCCCUGGCCAUCCUUGCACUCCAAUAGACCUGCCUGCCUUCUGGGUGCUGAGAUGAAAGGAAUUGUCUGAGUCUCAUUUCUUUACCAAGGGAUAUACUUUGCAUGUGAUCCCGUAAAGUGUGUAAGCAAUCACUUUAUUAACCACUCACUUUGCUAAUAGUCAUACAUUCCAUCAGGGCCCUUUCAGAUCUUCUAGUAAGGAGCGAGCAGUGAAGCUGGAGCGACAGCUCAGUGGUUAAGAGUGUACACUGCUGGGCUGGAGCGAUGGCUCAGUGGUUAAGAGUGUACACUGCUGGGCUAGAGCGAUGGCUCAGUGGUUAAGAGUGUACACUGCUGGGGCUGGAGGGAUGGCUCAGUGGUUAAGAGCACUGACUGCUCUUCCAGAGGUCCUGAGUUCAAUUCCCAGCAACCACAUGGUGGCUCACAACCAUCUGUAAAGAGAUCCGAUGCCCUCUUCUGGUGUGUCUGAACACAGCUACAGUGUGCUUAUAUAUAACAAAUAAAUAUUUUAAAAAAAAAAAAAAGAGUGUACACUGCUUUUGCAGGGGAUUGGAGUUUGCUUCCCAGCACUCACUCAUAACUCACUUCCUGAAACACUGGCUCAGAGGGAUCCAGUGUCCUCUUCUGGACCCAGAACUUCUGUACUCACAUACACACAUGCCCACACAGAGACACACACACAUACACACACACAUGAAUAUUAAUACUAACAUGCUAAUAUGUUCACUAAUACUUUCUGGGAAAAACAUUUUAUCCCAAGUCUUCCAUGAUUCUCCAACAGAGCAUUUCAGUGCUUAAAUAGCUCAGGCAGAUGGGCAGUGUUCUGGAAAUUUUGCCAUGUGCUAUAAUAGAAGCAUCCAGCAUUGUCAGGCUUAAAAUCUAUCAUUCUCUAUGUAUUGGCAACUAAUGUCAAUUUUUUUUAAAAGAGGAGAAACAAUGUGUACUUUUAUAGACUUUCUGCUCUGCUGGCUAAAGCUUGAUGAUCUUGAACACUUUUUCUUCUUUGAAAACCUGGUUUUAUGAAAAGUCCUAGAUUGCCUGUGCCCCUUCCCCCACAUCCCCAGCUACCACCAUAGAGACAGGAAUGGUCACAUGGGGUGACUCACUCUUCACAAAAAGCUGUCAACCCCCACCCAUCUGCUAAUACUACUGAAUUCUGAACGCUGUGUACCUGUCUUUAGCCAGGCACACAAUGCUAGCUGGUCCCACGGAAAACAUGCUUGUCCAUACUGUCCUGAGCCCACGCUUGCAAACCUUCCCCCACCUACCUACCGCUUGUCAAGUACCGUGCCUCCCCAGAAGGAAGAACUUCCCAGAACCUAGGGAUGUCUUUCCUGAGUGACUUAACUCUGCACUUGAUAGCUUUGCAUUCCCUGCAGGAAAUCUCCCACAGGACAGUUCUUCCAAAGCCAAGCAUCCUGAAGUGAUUUAAGUAGCUGGCAUUGUUUUGUAGAGGAGGAAACUGUGGCUCAGUGGUUCCUCUUUUCAUCUAAGCUGCCCUGAAAACUCUAAAUGAGAUCUGUGUCUCUGGGCCAAGAAUGCCGCUCUGGUAGAGUUUGCUUUGGCUAGUGCAAGACCCUGGGCUUAAUCUCCAGGACCGGAGAAAAAAGAUAUUUAAAAAAGCAGCUAGAUUGAGUGCCCAGGGAUGAAGUCUUAGCCUGUGUGUCUGCAUAAAAGUUUACAGUCUCUGUACUUGGAGCGGUCCACUCAAGUUGUGUGAGGGGAACAUGGUGAAUAUACUUAGGACGGCUAUUUAAUGCAGACGUUGUAGCCCCGUGCCUUCACUUCAGCCUGGGAAGGCCCUGUGUGUCUAAUGACUUCUUCAGAUCCCAGAGAACAAGUCUCACGUUCCCCAAGCCACUCAGUUGCUCUCAUCUCUCCCAGUGGUCUUGAAUUUCAAAGAAUAACUCUACAUACCAUAGUCUUUAUUUAUGCAUAUGAGUACACUGUCACUGUCUUCAGACGCACCAGAAGAGGACAUUGGGAUCCCAUUACAGAUGGUUGUGAGCUACCAUGUGGUUGCUGGGAAUUGAACUCAGGACCUCUGGAAAAGCAGUCAGUGCUCUUAACCACUGAGCCACUCUCCAGCCCACCACAGUCUUGAAAUAUCUUUUUUUUUUUCUUUUUCCUUUUUUCGGAGCUGGGGACCGAACCCAGGGCCUUGUGCUUGCUAGGCAAGCGCUCUACCACUGAGCCAAAUCCCCAGCCCCUCCACCACAGUCUUAUAACUCAGUUCUACCUCACAAAUUAAUGAUCUGAUUAUGUUCUGUAGUAAAUGUUUCCACAUGUAUAUCUUUUAACAGAAAGUACAUCAAAGAAUAAAAAAAAAUCACCAUUGUCUUUUUUGUGGUGGUUUUUUUUGGUUUGGUUUGGUUUUUGGAGACAGGGUUUCCCUGUGUAGCCCUGGCUAUCCUGGAACUAACUCUGUA